AAUUGCAGGAACAAAAUAAAAGAAAUGAAAAGAAAAAUUUAUUACUUUUGUUUUUGUUACACAUAACAAAAAUUCUUCAUAAAUGGUGUAAUUUUUAAGGAAUAGAUAGGAAUUGGUCAUUACCAUUAUUCAUAAAUGAUGUAAUUUUUAAGGAACGCAUAGGAAUUGGUCAUUCUUUUUGAUUCCUUAUAUCACCGGUUAGAGCUUUUUUGUUUAAUAUUUUAGUAGAAAUUAAAUCUGUUUGUUAAAUAUUCUUGUUUCCUAAUUAUUAUUUCAGGUUAGAUAUUUGAGACAAAACAUCACGAUUUACCAAACAGAGACCGAUUUAAAACAAAAAUACAUGGACGCGGCAAAGAAGAAUUGAUAAAGAAAGGGCCAUGGAAAGCCGAAGAAGACGAAGUGUUCAUCAAAGAUACGGUCCGCGUGAGUGGAGCUCAAUUCAAUCCAAAGGUCUUCUUCAACGCACCGGGAAAUCAUGCCGUCUCCGUUGGUUCAACAUACUCCGCCCAAUCUCAAAAAGUGGUUAUUCUUGGCGGAUGAAGAGAGAAUGGUGAUCGAAUUGCAGGAGGAGUUUGAUAAUCAGUUAUAGCAAUCCAAAACGUCAAACAAAUGAAUUCCUUAAGAGGAAGACAGGUAUUUUGAAAAUUUUAAAUAAAGAAAAAAUAUAUUUCUGUUUGUUACCUUGGAUUUUUCAUUUUUCAGUUUGUGUGUGUGUGCGUUUUAGUUUCAGAGAUUUGCUUUGGUCGAGUUUGAUCUUGUUGAUAAUUAACAUUUGAGUUCGGCUCCCACUUUUGGCUAAUUUUAAAUAGUUCAGUUAAAAUUCA